ensembl:lncRNA BRPF3-AS1 BRPF3 antisense RNA 1
GGCGAGCCCGAUAAGAGGGCUGUGGACGUUCGGGUCUAGUUGGGAGAGACAGGGGUCCCUGACUCUUGAGCGGUCAGUCAUUUCCUCCCCAGUCCUUGUGGGUGACGUGGCUACGGUUUGGAGCAGCAAGCCCCCUCCCCGAACUAAAGGGCCUCUCCAAAGGUUAAGCCAGGGCAGUCAUUGAGGUCAAAACCAAUAUGUAGUUUCUUGACUGCAGGUGCCUGCACGACUCCCAGAAAGUCGCGUCUCCCCUAACCCCCAUGCCCAGGACCUGAGGACAAAGGUCUAGCGAUUGUCCAUCCCCUCCCCCAGUGAGGACAGCCGGGAAAGACCUGCCUUUGUUGUGUACAGGUGGUAUCUCACUGUGUUAUCCAGACUGGACUCAAAUUUCUGGGCUCCAAUGGUCCUCUCACCUCAGCCUCCCAAGUAGUCAGGACUACAGGUACACACUACUGUGCGUGGCUAUUGUAUUUUCUUGAUUGUUGCUUUAAUAAUUUUUAUGUGCUUCCUUUUACUUUCUUUGAGUUCAUUCUUUAUUUUCUACUGUCAUCGGUUGGGUGCUUAAUUAUGUCAUUUUCAGGUUUUAAUUUCUAAUAUAAGCAUACAAG